GUGCUUGUUUAGGCAGCACAUAUACUAAAACUGGACCAAUACAGAGAAGAUUAGCAUGGCCCCUACUCAAGGAUGGCUUGCAAAAUUCAUGAAGCGUUCCAUUAAAAA